rnacentral:misc_RNA from 1 species
UGCCGUCGAUAAUCAACCAACAGUCCUUGGGAUUGUUGUGCUCAGACACCUGAGCCAAGGUGAAAACUUUCCCUUCACCACCCAUCUGAUUUCUGUUCACUUUUCUUCAAAAGCGUGAGAGAAAAACAGGGUGUGCUUGAUAUCAAGAAAAAGAUUCAAUUUUUGAGGGAUAUAAGAAGAUGGAUCUGAUGUUAAAAAGGAAAGAGUCUGACUGAGGACACAGGAGUGACGGCAAACCAAAAAGGAGGCGGGGCCUGGGCUGCGGAGUGAAGGGUGGGCCGUGGGCGUGUGGAGAGAGAGAGAGAGAGAGUAAUUUAAUAGGAGGGGUAAAGGUGAUUAAAUUGGUACUGGCUCUGGUCGGUGAUGUGGGUGCACUAGAUGCUGACUUUACUGAGCUGUUGAAGAAUCCAAGAUGUCUUGUUGGAAACUAGUUGGUACCAGUAGAUGCCUUCUUUCUCCAAGUACCAUUAUUACUAAUCUGCUACGCUUUUUGCUUUUCUGCUGCACAUUUUUCUUUUUAUCUUGAUUUCUCCUCUGGAUCUCAACGAUUAAGCGUGACAAUUAUUCUAUUUAAAUUUAAAUUUAUUUAAUUUUUUAAUAUUUAAAUUCAUUUUAAAUGAAUUAAAAUUUAUCUUUAAAUAAUUGAAUUUGU